GUCGAGGGUGUCUAUAACUUCGUAUCACUGAAUAAAAUAUAUAAAAAUAAUCUGUUUAAGAAUCGAAGGAGUAUAUCAAAAUAUAUCCCUCAAUAAAAGUUUAAGUUUGAGGUGCAUUAAUUAUUUUAGUUUUAUAGUUUCAAUUAAUUUAGGUCUAAAAUUAUUAAUAAUAUUUUAUUUUUUUCAUUACAGGAUGCUGAAAUAUCUGAC
rnacentral:lncRNA from 1 species